rnacentral:lncRNA from 1 species
GCUGAUGUAAGAGGAAGCUGACUCAAAGAACUGUUUUCCAAGUGUCUGUACCCCUAUUUAACCUUAACCCCCACAAAAGUUCUGGGCUUUUAGCCUUUUGCUGCCAAAAAAAAAAAAUCUCAUUUAUUUUUUGAGCUGUUCUAGGAUGACAACUCAGCUGUUUCUGGAAAAAUUACAACCUUGGCCAGGACGUUCCAAAUAAGUUAAAACAAUCUCUACAUCUGAGGGAGACAGCCUUUUACGAUCUCAAGCAUGUAGAAGUGCUCAAAAGCAUAUGUUGAAGGAAUGAAGGGGAAAAAUGAAAACCGAAUAAAUGAGUGGAGAUGGGCUCUUCCUGUAUUACCCAGGUUGACCCUCCUGCCUCAGACUCCUGAGAAGCUGGCAUUAGGGUGUGCACCACCAUUCCCAUCUGAAAAAGAACCCACUGGGGAGACACGUUGAAACCAGGAGCUCAUGGCUGAAGACUACAUGGCUAGAGACAAGUAAGGGGCUGAGGACAGAGCAGAGAAGAAACAUUGAGGGAGAAGUAAAUGAGGGGAGAGAAGAAGAAACUGAGGAGGCCGUGAGCCUGGAUGCUGCAUGGGGGAGUGAAGAAUUUGAAUUGCUGGGAUGGCCAAGAAGUGUUUGGAGUCCAGCAUCACUCACUGGGGACAUGAUGACGUUUGUUCUGCAGCAGGGAAUGUCUUCCUAGCAUGACUGGCAGUGGAGAAUGUCUGUCUUUUACUGGAAAACCCAACUCCUACAUGAAUAUGCGAUCUGGCUCUGGGGCCUCAAGAAGAAAAUCACAAUAAUACUUUUUCUAUCAUCUUCAUUUGAUGGCAUUAUCCUUGGUAACUUGAUAUAAUUUUUUUUUUGGUACCGGGGAUCAAACUUGGGACCUUGCACUUGCGAGGCAGGUGCCAGAACCACUGAGCUAAAUCCCUGGCCCAACUUGAUAUAAUUUUUAUAAAAUAAAUUUACUUCUCUAUUUCUUCUACUUGACAAUAUGUCUUGUACUUUAUUCCAUAUAUUUGAGCAGAAGAAUAUUACGGAGGAAUAAAAGGCAACUUAGAAUCACAGCACUUGAUACAACCUCAGUAGGUCAUCUGGAAGAGAAAUGGCUUUUGGAAAUGGUCAUCAGAUUUGAUAUCUAACUAUGGCAAAGAGUGUCAAGAGACUUUCAAGGACAAUGUAUGUCUUGGUAGAAGUAAAGUGAAAUUAUCA